rnacentral:lncRNA from 1 species
AGCAGCAUGUAGUAGCAUGUAGGGUAGCAUGUAGAGAGUCCUACCUUUUAGAAGACGUAUGAGUUUUAUUGAAUAGCAUAAUGAGAACAAGGCAAAAUAGCACUGAGUUCUACCUGUUUAAUAAAAGCAUUAGAGGAGUCCAGGGGAUAUUUAGCAAAUACCCCUCAAGUUUACACUUGAAACUAUAGUUUGAUUAUCUCUACUGCUUUCCUUGGAUGGGAGAAUUUUGUUACACUAUGCAAUAUUGCUGCUAAUGAAUAUUUAGAUGAAUAAUGCUAAAUGAGUAGGUCCUACCCCCUAUUAAGAAAUCUUUUAAGGCUUAGGCUUAUACUUUGGCAAUUAAACCUUAUAGCAAAUAUGCAUAAUAGUGACAAUUUCUCAUUACAUUUGCCGUUGACUCUAUGAAUUAUCUGUUGAUACCCAGGGGUUGGAUUAUUCUAGUUAAUUAUUGUGAUUUUACACUAACAUAACACCUUCUGUCCCAAGGAAUUCUUAAGCAUGGUGGAAACUUCAUCCCAAUCAGUACUUACUUAUGAAUCUCUUUACUUGUUAAGUGAGAAGGCAGCCUGAGAUAAAUUACCCUGGAUAAUUUUAAUCAAGAGCUUAAUUUUAAUGAUCAUCUGCUGCACAAACAAAAUAAGAGAAGGAAUGAAACCAUCAUUAUCAAGGAUGACUGCAAUAGGGGAAAGGAGACCUCACUAUAGAACCGGCUCAAGUCCAGGUAUAGCACGGAUGGGUGUGAAUUUAUAGCCAAGGAGCAAAGUGAAGGAUAGUGGAUAGAAAAUUACCAAAAGGAAACAUCAGCAGUAAGGAGAGUUCUGGCUAAAGUGACCUAAUAGAAUUUUUGCUGAAGACCAAUCUGGAUGAUCAGAUAUCACCUGGGAGACAGUGGAGGCUAAUGAAACUAAUUAGAUAUCAAGUGUGAUCAGAUGGAGAGGAUUAGGGAUUCUUACUAAACUAACAUAGCAGUUAUUGCUAAAACUGAAUCUUAUGAGGAAGUGUACAAAUGGACCUAAGAGGUGGUUCAGGAGGCUGAUUAAAGUUUGACCAAGCAGAGAACCUUUGCCAAAGAGUCAAUGAGUACAUGUUUGUGGGUGGUUGGGCUGGGAGAAAAGUACUGGAUGUCACCAUCUUCAUCGCUAGAAUUGAAAGAUUGAGUUAAACGGAAGUGAAGAACUUGAGUGCUGGUUUGUCAUGGCUAAAAUUUGUUAUUGCUGAUUUUCAACCAGGAGGAGUGUCAAGGGAUUUCUUCAGCCGAAUAUUCACUCUUGAGAGAACUUCUGCUUCUCUUUUAAAUUUACCUCCCCAGGAUCUGCCACUCUACAAAUGCUGCUUAAAUAUCUUCUGAGGGUCUCUAAGAACAGGAGCCAGGCUCGUGUUGGAGACUGAGUUGCUCUGUGGUGGCAGAGGCUGAUUGCUCUUUGGCAUAAAAGUCGUGCUUGAUGACCAUGCAGACUGUAUGCUUCAAUACACUGCUUCUAGAUUGGCUCAUGAAAUCUAGGUACUAAUCAUGCCUUAUCUGACAUUAUGGUUUAAAUCCCCCACAGUCUAUUAAGUGUAAUGCAGCACAUUU